rnacentral:lncRNA from 1 species
GGUCGUGUUCACGCAAUAUUUAUUAGUUAAGUACUGUUUACUACGUACGUACUAAAAUAUUAUAUUGUUAUAAUAUUAUUGCUAGAGCUGGCGAAUACACUAAACAAAACUAUGCCUGUUGUAGGCAUAAUGAAUGCAUCACUCAAGUAGGAAGUCACUAGGAGCAGUAUGUACCAGGCAGUACAAUCGCAAACUUGUUGUUGACAUUGGAUAUAUACCUCGGCUCUAAUUGGCUUGUUCACCAUGUCUUUAAAGUACAACGUCACAUUCAACGAAUGCAGAAUAAUUAUUGAACGCACCUUCAAUAUUAUCAAAACACGUGUCACACCACAAAGAACUUUGAUCGGACCGUUGGAGAUAAAUGAAAAGUUAUCAGGCAUAUCAAAACUUUUUAAAGAUCAAAUUGUUGGGCCUGAAGGUCUGUUAAUACAAUAAUACUUUAUAUACAUUGCAUUAUGGCCAUAUUGUUAAAAUUAUCGAUAAUGAAGUACCUAGUUCCUGUUGUGAAAUUUGGAAAAGUUUGUGAUGGAUUAUACAAAGAACAUAUUUGUAGACGUCCACUUGGCUUAAUAAAUUAUGGAUACAACGGGAUUUUAUAUGUAGCUGAUGCAUAUUAUGGUUAAUUUAAAUCCAGAUCAGUAUUGCACAAAAGAGCAAUUAGUUUCAUUGGAUGAAGUUAUUGAUUGUGUAUGUCCUAAAUUACCAAAUUCAGUUGUAAUAGCUUCUGAUGGUACUAUGUAUUGGACAGACUGAUACAAACUAUAAAUUACACGAUGGAGUUUAUACAUUACUUAUUUGCUGAUGGUACUAUAAGAUUUUCUAUAUUGCCAACAACUUUUAAAUCUGGAUCAACGUCUUCAGAUUUUUAUUUCUAGUAGAACAUGAUUUUCAUGCUGUAAUUCAAAAUUUCAUAAUCAACACUAAAUCUGGAUCCAUUAUACACACCUGCUUCUGCCUCAUCGCUGGAGGUCAUCAUUUUACCACCACACCAGGCGCCAUCAUAUUUAAUUUUUCAUUCAACACUAAUCUUCCAUUUGCUAACAAUUAUAAAUUGUUUAUAUCAGGAGACAAUAUAAUCUCUCAGUCAGCAAAACACACUUGGGAUUUUGGAUUUUAUCUUAGUGAUGUUUGUCUUUGACUAAAGCUCCUCCCUUAAGAUUUCUCACAAAAAUAUAUUUUUACAAUAUUCAAAUUUUCCUAAAGUAUUCUCAAAACGUGUAUUCCAAUUUUCCAUUUACUUGAUAUCCUUAGCUUUUAGUCGGUUUAUUGAAAAUGUCAAAACAAAUAUUGCUACGAUAUAUCAAAAUUCAUAAUCUCAUUGUCAUCUUUGUCCCAAAUUAAACACUCACAAUCAGUCUUGGUUUAUACAAUUUUGUUUAACAGAUCUAUACAAUCAAAAUACAUGAAAACACACCUUUUUUCUCCUUAACACAUUGCAUUAUAUGGUUGUCAACUAUGGGACAAUACUCAACAUGUUCAGUAAUCCAAGAUAGAUUUGUCCUAGAGAACUGGUUUAUUAUUUAAUUUUUUUCACGUAGAUGAGGCAUACUCAACUAGUAUAAAAUCCCAUCAAAUCGACUUUCAAGAAAAAAUUUUUUAUAUUAAAUUAUUAUUUGUUAAUAGAACAAUUACCGGCAGAGCAUUUUCUAGAGUUUUCUUGAGAAUCUACCUUCUUGCCCAUGCUCACGUUUUCAUAUAAUUCAUUAAAUAGUCCCCCAAAUAAGAACUUACAAUAGUACGGUGAAUAAAACUACAUUUUUGUUUUUUGCUGUUAAGUGUGUUGCCCAAUAUUUAAAAGACUCUUCCUACUCCCCAAUUUUUGAAACUUUAGAGGUCAGAAUUAAGCAGAUAUUUUUUUCACUUUUAAAAUAUUGAAUGGCAUUAUAUUGAUCAGAAUUCUUAAUCACAUUUAACUAUUUGGUCUUAGGUUGUCAAACUAGCCAAUUAAAUAAAGUGUAUGUAGAAUUUCAUUGUAAUACUAUCCCUCAAAACGUGAUAGUUCUAAUAAUUUGUCUUUUAAACAGGCUUAAUGUUGAUUUUUUCCGUAAUAAUAAUAAUUAAUAGGUAAUAUUGUAUUUAUAAUGUAUACCUUAUAUAUUAUUUUCUUUUUCACACAUUAUUAUAAUUGUUUAUCAAAUAUUCUUCAUAUGUUCAUGUUAGAUGUAUUACCAAACAAUCAUUGUCAUUUUAUUUUUAACUUGAAAUAAAUAAGUAAAUGGUUU